GUGAGCGUAGCUCAAUCGGAUAGAGCACCAGACUGUGGCUCUGGGGGUUGGGGGUUCAAUUCCCCUCGCUCACCCCA
rnacentral:tRNA from 1 species